GAUAACCAAUCCUCCCAAUUGGAGUCCGCUGAAUGCCCAGAGCAGCUUCAACUUCAGACUGUAGAAGAUACUGAAAGAAUAAAGAGACCUGACAGUUCUUCAGAUCGGAUCAUCACUCGGAGUUCUGUGUCUUCCGAACAACAGUUCUCUGAUUCUCAUGUUUCACAUCCUCCAUGCAGUGAAACUUUACAGUCACCUACCCCACUAGCAGUGAAACUUUGCAGUCACCUGCCCAACGAGCUGAUACUAGUUUUGGGGCUCCUGCAUCACAAAUAUUGCCGGACAGUCUGUUAGAGGAGGCCGACAGUGAGGCCCUCUCACAUUCACCUGUAAUUGAGGUGGAUAACCAAUCCUCCCACUUGGAGUCUGCUGAAUGCCCAGAGCAGCUUCAACUUCAGACUGUAGAAGAUACUGAAAGAAUAAAGAGACCUGACAGUUCUUCAGAUCGGAUCAUCACUCGGAGUUCUGUGUCUUCCGAACAACAGUUCUCUGAUUCUCAUGUUUCACAUCCUCCAUGCAGUGAAACUUUACAGUCACCUACCCAACUAGCUGAUACUAGUUUUGGGGCUCCUGCUUCACAAAUAUUGCCGGACAGUCUGUUAGAGGAGGCCGACAGUGAGGACCUCUCACAUUCACCUGUAAAUGAUGUGGAUAACCAAUGCUCCCAAUUGGAAUCCGUUGAAUGCCAAGAGCAGAUUCAACCUCAGACUAUAGAAGAUACUGAAAGAAUGACGAGACCUGACAGUUCUUCAGAUGGGAUCAUCACUUGGAGUUCUUUGUCUUUCGAACAACAGUGCUCUGAUAGUUAUGUUUCACAUCCUCCAUACAGUGAAACUCUGCAGUCACUUACCCAACUAGCUGGUACUAGUUUUGGGGCUCAUGCGUCAUCACAAAUAUUGCUGGAUGGUCUGUUAGAGGAGGCCGACUGUGAGGACCUCUCACAUUCACCUGUAAAUGAUGUGGAUAACCACUGCUCCCAAUUGGAGUCUGUUGAAUGCCCUGAGCAGCUUCAACCUCAGACUGGUCCUUUGGAUGAUGCUUAUAAAAC
rnacentral:lncRNA from 1 species